rnacentral:rRNA from 1 species
GAUGAACGCUGGCGGCAUGCUUAACACAUGCCAGUCGAACGGGAAGUGGUGUUUCCAGUGGCGAACGGGUGAGUAACGCGUAAGAACCUGCCCUUGGGAGGGGAACAACAACUGGAAACGGUUGCUAAUACCCCGUAGGCUGAGGAGCAAAAGGAGAAAUCCGCCCAAGGAGGGGCUCGCGUCUGAUUAGCUAGUUGGUGAGGUAAUAGCUUACCAAGGCGAUGAUCAGUAGCUGGUCCGAGAGGAUGAUCAGCCACACUGGGACUGAGACACGGCCCAGACUCCUACGGGAGGCAGCAGUGGGGAAUUUUCCGCAAUGGGCGAAAGCCUGACGGAGCAAUGCCGCGUGGAGGUGGAAGGCCUACGGGUCGUCAACUUCUUUUCUCGGAGAAGAAACAAUGACGGUACCUGAGGAAUAAGCAUCGGCUAACUCUGUG